CAAUAGCGUAUAUUAAAGUUGUUGCAGUUAAAAAGCUCGUAGUUGGACUUCUGCGGGUGGCGGCCGGUCGUGCUCGAAACGGGCGUGAACUUGGCGUGCUGCCCGCAUCUUUGGGGAGAUUGUGCGUGGCAUUAAGUUGUCGUGCAUGGGAUUCUCAUCAUUUACUGUGAAAAAAUUAGAGUGUUUAAAGCAGGCCUUUGCCUUGAAUACAUUAGCAUGGAAUAAUAAGAUAGGACCGUUGUCUAUUUUGUUGGUUUACAGAUGUCGGUAAUGAUUAAUAGGGAUAGUUGGGGGUAUUCGUAUUCAGUUGUCAGAGGUGAAAUUCUUGGAUUUUCGGAAGACGCACGACUGCGAAAGCAUUUACCAAGGAUGUUUUCAUUA
rnacentral:rRNA from 1 species